CGCUGAGAGAGGAGCUUGCUCUUCUUGGAUGAGUUGCGAACGGGUGAGUAACGCGUAGGUAACCUGCCUUGUAGCGGGGGAUAACUAUUGGAAACGAUAGCUAAUACCGCAUAACAAUGGGUGACUCAUGUCAUUUAUUUGAAAGGGGCAAAUGCUCCACUACAAGAUGGACCUGCGUUGUAUUAGCUAGUAGGUGAGGUAACGGCUCACCUAGGCGACGAUACAUAGCCGACCUGAGAGGGUGAUCGGCCACACUGGGACUGAGACACGGCCCAGACUCCUACGGGAGGCAGCAGUAGGGAAUCUUCGGCAAUGGGGGCAACCCUGACCGAGCAACGCCGCGUGAGUGAAGAAGGUUUUCGGAUCGUAAAGCUCUGUUGUAAGUCAAGAACGAGUGUGAGAGUGGAAAGUUCACACUGUGACGGUAGCUUACCAGAAAGGGACGGCUAACUACGUGCCAGCAGCCGCGGUAAUACGUAGGUCCCGAGCGUUGUCCGGAUUUAUUGGGCGUAAAGCGAGCGCAGGCGGUUUGAUAAGUCUGAAGUUAAAGGCUGUGGCUCAACCAUAGUUCGCUUUGGAAACUGUCAAACUUGAGUGCAAAAGGGGAGAGUGGAAUUCCAUGUGUAGCGGUGAAAUGUGUAGAUAUAUGGAGGAACACCGGUGGCGAAAGCGGCUCUCUGGUCUGAAACUGA
rnacentral:rRNA from 1 species